rnacentral:rRNA from 1 species
UACGUAGGGGGCCAGCGUUGCUCGGAAUUACUGGGCGGAAAGGGUCCGUAGGCGGUGUAGCAAGUCGAUAGUGAAAUCUCUGGGCUUAACCCAGAGGCUGCUAACGAAACUGCUGUGCUAGAGUGUGAGAGAGGCGAGUGGAAUUACGGGUGUAGCGGUGAAAUGCGUAGAUAUCCGUAGGAACAUCCGAGGCGAAGGCGGCUCGCUGGAUCACAACUGACGCUGAGGGACGAAAGCUAGGGGAGCAAACAGG